UAUCUCUUCUUCUCUCUUCUUCAUUUUAUUUCCAUUUUCUUUCUUCUUCUCUAUUUCUCUCUUCCCCUCUAACAACUGUUAUAGUAAAUUCAAAGAAAAACACAAGUUCAUCCCCAAAUGAAAAUGCUAAAAAAGAUUUCUUUUAGUUUCAGUUUUUGUAGCCUCAUGUUCAUGCGAUGAGCAUUAUGUUUUCAGCCAUGGCGGACUUACCGACAUGGAAGUGUAUUACAUAAAGCAACGACAGCUGCUUUAUUACAGAGAUGAGUUCGGUGACAGAGGGGAGAACGUCACCCUCGACCCGUCACUGAUUUUUGAAAACCCGAGGUUGAGAAACUCUUAUAUAGCUUUACAAGCUUGGAAAAAAGCGAUUCUUUCCAACCCGUUUAAUCUCACUGCCUAUUGAAUUGGAUCCGGUGUGUGUGACGAUACUGGUGUGUACUGUGCUCCAGCGCUUGAUAACAAGAGAAUCAGAACCGUCGCCGGUAUUGAUUUAAACCAUGGAGAUGUCGUAGGAUGCUUGCCGGAGGAGCUUGGGUUACUCACCGAUCUGGCAUUGUUUCAUAUCAACUCGAGCAGGUUUUGUGGUACGGUUCCACAUAAGUUUAUAAAGUUGAAGCUGAUGUUCGAGUUGGAUCUUAGCAACAAUUGGUUCACCGCUAAUAACAAGUUUCACGGUUAUAUGCCGGCAAGUCUUGGGAACACGACGGGUCUUGAAGAGAUUAUUUUAAUGAACAAUGGAUUUCGAUCUUGUUUGCCGGAGCAAAUUGGGGGUUGAAAAUUUUGACUGUUUUUUAUGUUAGCUUUAAACAGUUAUUGGGUACUUUACCGGAGCAAAUUUGGGGGAUAGUGAGUCUUGAACAGCUUAAUGUGCCACAUUUCAUUAACAAUAUAUCAAAUUAAGAAUGGCAUAAAUAUUUGUAUUUUAUUAAAAAAAUAUGAUUUGGUUUAAAA